rnacentral:rRNA from 1 species
AUAAGCUAAGUAAGGGCGUAUGGGGGAUGCCUAGGCUCUCAGAGGCGAAGAAGGACGUGAUAAGCUGCGAAAAGCUGCGGGGAGAGGCACAUACUUUGUGAUCCGCAGAUAUCCGAAUGGGGCAACCCGGCAUGUUGAAGACAUGUCACAUCGUAAGAUGAGCAAACCCGGAGAACUGAAACAUCUAAGUACCCGGAGGAGAAGAAAACAAAAGUGAUUCCGCUAGUAGUGGCGAGCGAACGCGGAAUAGCCCAAACCAAUGUUGUUACGGCAAUAUUGGGGUUGUAGGACCACGACAUUUGAUGUUUACCGAAUUAGAACUAUUUGGAAAGAUAGACCAUAGAGGGUGAUAGUCCCGUAUAGGUAAAGUAAAUUAUUGAUAGUGGUAUCCUGAGUAGUGCGGGGCACGUGUUAA